GGGUUGCGUCGUUCGAUCCCAAAAAGCUUUCCUUAUUUCCAUGUCGAAUUUGGUUUGGAAAAGGGUUUUGUAUAUGUAAUUGAUGAUGAAUAUGAAUUGGAGCUCACUAUGGGCCUGAACAUCAUUAGAUCCAUACUUAGUCUCCCAUAGGAAGAUAUGUAUAUGUAAUUGAUGAUGAAUAUGAAUUCGAGCUCACUAUGGGCCUGAACAUCAUUAGAUCCAUACUUAGUCUCCCAUAGGAAGAUAGGUGCAGGGAGCAUCAAUCAGUUGAGGCCCAAAAACAAGCCCUUUCAAGUUUUGCUGGUAAGUGGCAAACUUUUGAUUGGACUAGGCUACUAUAACUUUCUGGGAUUGUGGUAAUGUCAACCUUUUGAUUGGACUAUUUAGGAAUCUCUUGUUUGUUGUUAUGAAAAAUAUUGUAAUAUACAAUUGUUUUG
rnacentral:lncRNA from 1 species